GUUUUCACCACUCGCCAGGCAAUCACUCUGUGCUCCAAGUCAGUAUUGCACCAAUGGGACUCUGACAUUGAGAAGAAAAUGAAAAAGAGCCUCAAAUGAAAAUGCUUUUUGAGGAAGGUGGCUAAGAGAAAUUAACUCUGUACAUAGAUAUUAAUAUUGAAACCAGUUUCACUGCACACUCAGAAGUUCCAGAUAUGGAUGGAACCAUUGCUCCUUGCAGUCUCACUGUCAACUCUGUAGAAUCUGCUCUCCAGCCUGGGAAAGCAGUAGAAGAUGGCCCAAGUCUUUGGGCCCUGCACCCAUGUGGGAGACUCGGAAGAAACUCCUGGCACCUGGCUUCGGAUCAUCCUCACUCCUGCUGCUGCAUCCAUUAGGGAAGUGAACCAGUGGACAGAAGACUUUUCACUCUGUCUCUCCUUCUCUCUGUCAAUAAA